rnacentral:tRNA from 1 species
GCUGGAGUGGCAGAGUUUAUGCGCUAGGUUUAAGCUCUAGGAACGAGUUUUUACUCCUCCGGCA